rnacentral:rRNA from 1 species
CGCGUGAAGGAAGAAGUAAUUCGUUAUGUAAACUUCUGUCAUAGAGGAAGAACGGUGCGUGUAGGGAAUGACAUGCAAGUGACGGUACUCUAUAAGAAAGCCACGGCUAACUACGUGCCAGCAGCCGCGGUAAUACGUAGGUGGCGAGCGUUAUCCGGAAUUAUUGGGCGUAAAGAGGGAGCAGGCGGCACUAAGGGUCUGUGGUGAAAGAUCGAAGCUUAACUUCGGUAAGCCAUGGAAACCGUAGAGCUAGAGUGUGUGAGAGGAUCGUGGAAUUCCAUGUGUAGCGGUGAAAUGCGUAGAUAUAUGGAGGAACACCAGUGGCGAAGGCGACGAUCUGGCGCAUAACUGACGCUCAGUCCCGAAAGCGUGGGGAGCAAAUAGGAUUAGAUACCCUAGUAGUCCACGCCGUAAACGAUGAGUACUAAGUGUUGGGAGUCAAAUCUCAGUGCUGCAGUUAACGCAAUAAGUACUCCGCCUGAGUAGUACGUUCGCAAGAAUGAAACUC